GGGCCGGUGGCGGAACUGGCAGACGCGCACGCCUUAGGAGCGUGUGUCCGUAAGGACUUGUGGGUUCGACUCCCAUCCGGCCCA
rnacentral:tRNA from 1 species